rnacentral:piRNA from 1 species
UAAAAUGUAUAAAAGCAAGCUGUGGGCCAG